rnacentral:rRNA from 1 species
UACGGAGGGGGCUAGCGUUGUUCGGAAUUACUGGGCGUAAAGCGCGCGUAGGCGGACCUGCAAGUCGGGGGUGAAAGCCCGAGGCUCAACCUCGGAACUGCCUUCGAUACUGCGGGUCUCGAGUCCGGGAGAGGUGAGUGGAAUUCUUGGUGUAGCGGUGAAAUGCGUAGAUAUCAAGAGGAACACCUGCGGCGAAGGCGGGUUGCUGGGCCGACACUGACGCUGAGGCGCGAAAGCCAGGGGAGCGAACGGG